rnacentral:rRNA from 1 species
AACGAACGCUGGCGGCAUGCCUAAUACAUGCAAGUCGAACGAGAUCUUCGGAUCUAGUGGCGCACGGGUGCGUAACGCGUGGGAAUCUGCCCUUGGGUUCGGAAUAACGUCGGGAAACUGACGCUAAUACCGGAUGAUGACGUAAGUCCAAAGAUUUAUCGCCCAGGGAUGAGCCCGCGUAGGAUUAGCUAGUUGGUGGGGUAAAGGCCUACCAAGGCGACGAUCCUUAGCUGGUCUGAGAGGAUGAUCAGCCACACUGGGACUGAGACACGGCCCAGACUCCUACGGGAGGCAGCAGUAGGGAAUAUUGGACAAUGGGGGCAACCCUGAUCCAGCAAUGCCGCGUGAGUGAUGAAGGCCUUAGGGUUGUAAAGCUCUUUUACCAGAGAUGAUAAUGACAGUAUCUGGGGAAUAAGCCCCGGCUAACUCCGUGCCAGCAGCCGCGGUAAUACGGAGGGGGCUAGCGUUGUUCGGAAUUACUGGGCGUAAAGCGCACGUAGGCGGCGAUUUAAGUCAGAGGUGAAAGCCCGGGGCUCAACCCCGGAACUGCCUUUGAGACUGGAUUGCUUGAAUCCGGGAGAGGUGAGUGGAAUUCCGAGUGUAGAGGUGAAAUUCGUAGAUAUUCGGAAGAACACCAGUGGCGAAGGCGGCUCACUGGACCGGCAUGACGCUGAG